rnacentral:tRNA from 1 species
GUGGGGUUGUGGCUCAGUGGUAGAGUGCUCGCCUAGCACGUGCAAGGCCCUGGGUUUGAUCCCUAGCACCACA